UACGUAGGGUGCAAGCGUUAAUCGGAAUUACUGGGCGUAAAGCGCGUGUAGGCGGCCCGAUAAGUCCGCUGUGAAAGUCCAGGGCUCAACCCCGGGCCUGCAGUCGAUACGGGCAGACUAGAGUGCGGUAGGGGAGACUGGAAUUCCUGGUGUAGCGGUGAAAUGCGCAGAUAUCAGGAGGAACACCGGUGGCGAAGGCGGGUCUCUGGGCCGUAACUGACGCUGAGGAGCGAAAGCGUGGGGAGCGAACAGG
rnacentral:rRNA from 1 species